rfam:Triticum aestivum genome assembly, contig: Triticum_aestivum_CS42_TGACv1_scaffold_690503_T_5AS-0.130538_3DS-0.076016
GGAUGCGAUCAUACCAGCACUAAAGCACCGGAUCCCAUCAGAACUUCGAAGUUAAGCAUGCUUGGGCGAGAGUAGUACUAGGAUGGGUGACCUCCUGGGAAGUCCUCGUGUUGCAUUCC